ensembl:Y_RNA Y_RNA Y RNA
GGCUGGUUCCAGUGCAGGGAGGUGCACAACUAAUUGAUCAUAACCAAUUACAGAUCUCUUUGUUCUUUCUCCAUUCCUACUGUUCUACUUGAUUAGCCUUAA